AGCUAGUUGGUGAGGUAACGGCCCACCAAGGCGACGAUUGGUAGCCGGACUGAGAGGUUGAACGGCCACAUUGGGACUGAGACACGGCCCAGACUCCUACGGGAGGCAGCAGUGGGGGAUAUUGCACAAUGGGGGAAACCCUGAUGCAGCGACGCCGCGUGGAGGAAGAAGGUUUUCGGAUUGUAAACUCCUGUCGUUAGGGACGAUAAUGACGGUACCUAACAAGAAAGCACCGGCUAACUACGUGCCAGCAGCCGCGGUAAAACGUAGGGUGCAAGCGUUGUCCGGAAUUACUGGGUGUAAAGGGAGCGCAGGCGGACCGGCAAGUUGGAAGUGAAAACUAUGGGCUCAACCCAUAAAUUGCUUUCAAAACUGCUGGCCUUGAGUAGUGCAGAGGUAGGUGGAAUUCCCGGUGUAGCGGUGGAAUGCGUAGAUAUCGGGAGGAACACCAGUGGCGAAGGCGACCUACUGGGCACCAACUGACGCUGAGGCUCGAAAGCAUGGGUAGCAAACAGGAUUAGAUACCCUGGUAGUCCAUGCCGUAAACGAUGAUUACUAGGUGUUGGAGGAUUGACCCCUUCAGUGCCGCAGUUAACACAAUAAGUAAUCCACCUGGGGAGUACGACCGCAAGGUUGAAACUCAAAGGAAUUGACGGGGGCCCGCACAAGCAGUGGAGUAUGUGGUUUAAUUCGAAGCAACGCGAAGAACCUUACCAGGUCUUGACAUCCGAUGCAUAGCUUAGAGAUAAGUGAAGUCCUUCGGGACAUCGAGACAGGUGGUGCAUGGUUGUCGUCAGCUCGUGUCGUGAGAUGUUGGGUUAAGUCCCGCAACGAGCGCAACCCUUAUUGCCAGUUACUACGAAAGAGGACUCUGGCGAGACUGCCGUUGACAAAACGGAGGAAGGUGGGGGUGACGUCAAAUCAUCAUGCCCUUUAUGACCUGGGCUACACACGUACUACAAUGGCGUUUAACAAAGAGAAGCAAGACCGCGAGGUGGAGCAAAACUCAAAAACAACGUCUCAGUUCAGAUUGCAGGCUGCAACUCGCCUGCAUGAAGUCGAAAUUGCUAGUAAUCGCGGAUCAGCAUGCCGCGGUGAAUACGUUCCCGGGCCUUGUACACACCGCCCGUCACACCAUGAGAGCCGGGGGGACCCGAAGUCGGUAGUCUAACCGCAAGGAGGACGCCGCCGAAGGUAAAACUGGUGAUUGGGGUGAAGUCGAAACAAGGUAGCCGUA
rnacentral:rRNA from 1 species